rnacentral:snRNA from 1 species
UUGCCUCAAAUUAAUGAGUAAGGAUAAUAACUUCAUUGGGUGAUACCAAUGACAAAAAAAAAAGUUUAAAAAACUUUUUUUUUUAAAAAUAUUUAAAAUUUUUGAAGGGUUCAUAGGCUGACCUAGUUGAGCGGGAUGCUUUAUUCUCUUCAUAAGGCGACCUGCUCU